AUGUAUUGCUUAACAUUCAGUUGCUCCAAACUAUUUUACUGAUAUUGCAAAUUGUCAUUAGUUAAACAUGUAUUGCUUAACAUUCAGUUGCUCCAAACUGUUUUUUAUUAAUAUUGCUGUUGGUCCCUUUAGUUAGACACCUUAUGCUAGACAUUCAGUUUUAAUCCAAACUGGUUUUCUGGAUAUUGCAAUGGUCACUUUAAUUAAACUUUAUUACUUGACUUUCAGUUUGCUCCAACUGUUUUUAUUAAUAUUGCUAUGGUCACUUUAGUUAGAUUUUUAAUGCUAGACAUUCAGUUUUGC